rnacentral:rRNA from 1 species
AGUAGUUGAUCAUGGCUCGAGGACGACGCUGGCGGCGUGCUUAACACAUGCAAGUCGAACGGGCACUUCGGUGCUAGUGGCGAACGGGUGAGUAAAGCGCAGGUAAUCUGCCGCAAAGUCGGGGACAACGUUCCGAAAGGGACGCUAAUACCGGAUGUUGUACAGGUUUCGCAUGGGGCUUGUACUAAAGAUUUAUCGCUUUGCGAGGAGCCUGCGUCCGAUUAGGCAGUUGGUGUGGUAAAGGCGCACCAAACCGACGAUCGGUAGCCGGUCUGAGAGGAUGAACGGCCACAAUGGAACUGAGACACGGUCCAUACUCC